GACACACCUCCCGCUUCCCCUUAACGGCAGCCGCAGGGGCCGCUGCCGUCCGCGCCGCCGCUGCGCCACCCCAGCAUCGCCGAUCCGCGCAGUCCGCACCGCCCCCAGCGCCGCCGAUCCGCAACAUCCACGUCGCCGCUCCCUCCCCGCCGCUGCUCUGCCCUUUGGCCGUCGCCGGCGUCACAACGGUGCUCCCGCUCCACCCCCGGCCGUUGCCUGCGUCGCCCGAUCCGCACAGUAUGGAGGAUACUACGGUCAGGACCCGAGGGUGGGCUACUAUGCCGUGCCGCAGCCCGGCCCCGGCGUACCAGGCCCGUACCGCUGCCCGGCGCCCCGGUACUCGCAGAUUGCCGAUGAUUACCACUUGGUGGAUCAGUUCCUCAAUCUACAAUGAAUUGAAAUAUCAAAUGAGAUUAAAAUGCUCUGUCGCGGGUCAGUCAAAUUGAUGCAGCGCAAAUUCAGAUUGUGAUGGCGGGUUAAAUGGGUCAUGCACACAAGUCAAAUUCAGACUGAUGCCCUAGCUCAAGCUGGGCUUGAAUCGUUGAAUCUUAUUGUCGGCAUUGAUUUCACAAAGAGCAAUGAGUGGACAGGAAAAUUCUUCUUUCAUGGAUGUAGUUUACAUCACAUUAGCAGCACACCAAAUCCUUAUGAACAGCCAUCUCGAUCAUAGGGCAGACACUGUUAAAAUUUGAUUAAGACAAUUUGAUCCCAUGCUUUGGAUUCGGAGAUGGUAAUGGAUUUUAAUAUUUGAUUUAUUACACUAUCUCAUAAUUUCUCUACAACCUAAUUCAACUGUGCACAGUAUUUUUUUCAGUGUUAACACAUGAUCAAGAUGUCUUCUGUUUUUAUCCUGACGAGAGACCUUGCAAUGGUUUCUCAAAAGCUCUGCGUGUCAUGUGAAUUUUAAUUCACAGAACUAAACGAACUCAAAUAAAGGACUGAUAAAAAUAGAUUACAUGUGCAGAUUAUUUGCCAAUGAAUUCGAGGUCAAAUGCCCUACUUCAAUGACCUAUAUCGUCAUGCAACUUAUUUAUGUGUAAUUUAGUUUUAUUUAUUAGGGCACUAAGAACCUGACAUUGUUUUGACAAUCUGGUAGGAAACCAAUUUAUCAGUGCAUAAAACAACAUGGUCAUGAAGACGCCGAGGAUAGCAAAAAAUUAUGAAUUCCUAGUAUGUGUCUUUAAGAUUUUAGCUGCGGCCAUCAUUACUAGAGGAACUGAUGGUAUUUUGCUGGGCGUGGAAACACAUCGAGGGCUCUAUCCUGUUGAUGAGUGAGUACCGUGGGCAGAAUAUGUGCAGAAAGCUAGACUGUAUAACCAGCCACUUAAAUUCAAGAAAGUAAUGUGGCAUGUUGGUCACCCGAUGUCCCAUGAGGAAUCUGUGGCAUUAGCAGCGGCAAAUAUUAUCUUUCAUUGGGUACAAAUAGAGGUUUUCUAAUCUAGAAUAUUACUGAUGAACCAUUGUUUGCUUUUCUUAGGUUGGUUCUGCGAUUAAAGUAAAAGUUGCUGCAAUUGUUGUGUUCGCAUUCUCAGGGAGAGCUGUUAGGUGCCCUGUAUUUACUCUGAGAUCAGCGACUCUCUAGACAUGUUCACAUCAUAUGAAGUAAUUGAAUUAUUUCAUGCUUAUCGUUGUGCAGGAUCUGCAUACUUCUGUUUGACCAUUUUUGAAUCACUGUCGGCAAGGCAAUGUUUUGCAGUGAGAGGCGUUACCCUUUGAUGGGGAGUACUGAUGAGGAUGAAACUGGUGGGCUCACAAAGGAAGAGUAAGGGAUAAAACUGGCACUAAACUGGCAGGGAGCGAGGUGAGGCGGCGGGCAGGACAGCGAGGGGCAGCUAUUGGGCGCAUGGGGGCGAGGAGCAUGUAGGUGGGCAAAAGAGGCCCCUGUGGCGUGCUGCAGGCCUGCAGCACCAGGGAGCUGGCCCGCACGGACCAGCGGGAGCGGCGGCGGACCGGCCAGCCACGCCGGUCUGGGAGCAGGCACACGCGAUAGGAGCGGGAGGACCGCAGCGGGGCCAUGCCGGCGCUCCAGAGCCCGGGUGCGCGAGGACCCCGUGGGUGGCGGCGGCGCGUUCUACGCGCGUCCAUGGUUGGCCCGGCGGCGGUACGAUCCGCCCAGGCAGGGAGCCUCGCCGGCGAGUACUCCAUGCAUGGAGGUGGCCGGUCCUGAGGAUUUGGGAGCCCGGGGCGAGGGAUUAUAGUUGGAGCCCUCUAAAUAAUAGUGAUAAAAAUAAUAAUGAUAAUAUAUAUAUAUUUUGCAAAUA